GCUGGCUGUCCAUGUGGGGAUACCACCCACAGGGACCCAAUUUCCUCCAGACCUUGGCAAACUCCUGUCGACAGCUCCAAGACCCAAGGACUCCAUAGAAUGGAGAGGGGGCUCUGCUCACGGCUGGGAAAAUGCCAGGGGCCCCAUGACAGGUGACAUAAUGAACUGAUUGGAAUCAUUAUCUCAGAAAUAAGCUUUCUCCAUUGCUUCUCAGAUGGUGUCUUCAUUCAUCACUGAUAAGAAAGGACAUGGAGCCCAGCUGAGAGAGUACAAGUCACCCAUCCACCUUCACACCUUCAAGGCUUCCAGUUCCAGCAUCCUUGACUCUGUUUAUGGAUGAAGACCUUAGGAUUUGGCAAAUAGAAUUUUUUUUCUGACCAUGGUCCAGAUGGGCUUGUUUUACCUUGGCUUUUUUACAUGCGGUUCCAAUUUCCUGGCAGCUGGGGCUACUGGUGAGGAAUCAGGACCCAGGACAAUCAGGGGCAUUGACUGUGGGCAUGGUUCAGUUUCUUGUGUGUGGUCUCGCUCAAGAAGGGAGGGCACAUCACUACAGAAGGGUUUUUUGUUACCUCUGGGGCAAUGUUGUGUUUUGUGAAAGAAAGUAUUUUAACCACACAUUUGAACAAAGCUGGCAAAACAAUAGUUCCUCUUGUGGUCUUCCAUUAAUCUUCUUUUAUGUAAGGAGAAAAUCGGAUGCCUUAAUGAUGUCAUCAUUUGGCCUGGAAAAGAACCAAUGGAGUUAAAGGGCCCCAUUGUUUCCCUGACACAGUGGUGGAAGAGGAAGAGGCAUUUGCUUUUACUGUUCCAGAGAGAAGAGGGCACGUCUGCAGCCCACCACCCAUAAACACGCUGGAAUCUUAACACUGGGAGGAUUCGCCAGGAGGGCUUUGUGGACAUAGUCUUCAUUUCCACAGAGGCUCCUCCAUCUGUCAUCUGCUUUCUUGUCACCCCCCAAAUAAAAAGAGCUCAAAUUUGUUUAUGGACGUGUGGUCCGCCUGCUGCUCCUCAUCCC
rnacentral:lncRNA from 1 species